rfam:Trachymyrmex septentrionalis contig19598, whole genome shotgun sequence.
CUACUGGCUUUCUUCAAAGCCACCAACCUCCGCAUUUGAACUUCU